rnacentral:rRNA from 1 species
GAUGAACGCUGGCGGCGUGCCUAAUACAUGCAAGUCGGGCGAACGGACGGGAAGCUUGCUUCUCUGAUGUUAGCGGCGGACGGGUGAGUAACACGUGGAUAACCUACCUAUAAGACUGGGAUAACUUCGGGAAACCGGAGCUAAUACCGGAUAAUAUUUUGAACCGCAUGGUUCAAAAGUGAAAGACGGUCUUGCUGUCACUUAUAGAUGGAUCCGCGCUGCAUUAGCUAGUUGGUAAGGUAACGGCUUACCAAGGCAACGAUGCAUAGCCGACCUGAGAGGGUGAUCGGCCACACUGGAACUGAGACACGGUCCAGACUCCUACGGGAGGCAGCAGUAGGGAAUCUUCCGCAAUGGGCGAAAGCCUGACGGAGCAACGCCGCGUGAGUGAUGAAGGUCUUCGGAUCGUAAAACUCUGUUAUUAGGGAAGAACAUAUGUGUAAGUAACUGUGCACAUCUUGACGGUACCUAAUCAGAAAGCCACGGCUAACUACGCG